AUUUUAUUAAACAACAGAAAGGUAAAUAAAACUAACUCGGGAACUCAAAGAUUCGAAAAAAUGAAACAACACAAAACCAACAGCGAUCCACACCCGCUUUGAUGACUGAUGCAGUGUGACCGUUCGCAGAGAUUGGCACAAUACCAGAUUUCAGGUGUGGCCAGAACGCUAAGAAUUUAACGGUCGCACUGCGAGUUCAAACUGCUGAUGUGAAAAUUUUAUAAUUCCUAAUGAUUUUAAUGUCAUAAU
ensembl:ncRNA asRNA:CR45257 antisense RNA:CR45257